AGUGAACGCUGGCGGCAGGCCUAACACAUGCAAGUCGAGCGGCAGCGCGUCCGACCACCCUCGGGUGGUCGGAUGGCGGCGAGCGGCGGACGGGUGAGGAAUGCAUCGGAAUCUGCCUCGUUGUGGGGGAUAACGUAGGGAAACUUACGCUAAUACCGCAUACGACCUGAGGGUGAAAGGGGGGGAUCGCAAGACCUCUCGCUAUUGGAGCGGCCGAUGUCAGAUUAGCUAGUUGGUGGGGUAAAGGCCUACCAAGGCAACGAUCUGUAGUUGGUCUGAGAGGACGACCAGCCACACUGGGACUGAGACACGGCCCAGACUCCUACGGGAGGCAGCAGUGGGGAAUUUUGGACAAUGGGGGCAACCCUGAUCCAGCCAUGCCGCGUGAGUGAAGAAGGCCCUCGGGUUGUAAAGCUCUUUUGUCCGGAAAGAAAAGCAAUCGGUUAAUACCCGGUUGUUCUGACGGUACCGGAAGAAUAAGCACCGGCUAACUUCGUGCCAGCAGCCG
rnacentral:rRNA from 1 species